AUGCUUAGUCAAGUGAGUUCCAUUCACCCCGAAAAAAAAAAACAAGUGAGUUCCAUUCGAAGUAACGUAACAACAGGAGCACCAUCUUCAAAACUUCUCGAGUCGAUUAAUCAGCUGGCACCAAGUACCAACCAAGCCAAUGUGCCAACACUCAUGCUCAAAAAAAAAAAAAUGUGCCAACACUCCAACACCCUGCUGCACUUCCUCCGCCACGUCUCCUUCCCGCCGGAUGCGCACCUCCUGCCGUCCGCGCUCAAGUCAUGCCACGCGCAGCCCCUCGCCCGCGCGCUCCACGCGGCCGCCGCGGUCUCCGGCCUUGCGGAGGAUCCCUUCGUCGCCUCCUCGCUCCUCCACACCUACAUCCGCCUCGGAGCCACCAGCGCUGCCCGCGUUGUGUUCGAAAGAAUGCCGGACAAGAGUGUCGUGGGCUGGAGCGCACUCAUCGCCGGUUACUCUGCACGAGGUGACGCCGAGGUCGCGUGGGGCCUUCUGGAGCGGAUGCGAAGCGCUGGGGUCGAGCCAAAUGUGAUCACCUGGAAUGGACUGGUUUCCGGGCUGAACCGGAGCGGCAGCGCCCUCGACGCUGUCAAGGCACUUGUGAGGAUGCACGGGGAAGGGUUCUUGCCAGACGCCACCGGUGUCUCGUGUGCACUCUCUGCGGUCGGGGAUGUGAAAGAGGUCUCGGUUGGCGAGCAGCUGCAUGGAUAUGUGGUGAAGGCAGGGUGCAGGCUAGAUCAACAUGUGGUCACUGCGCUCAUUGACAUGUACGGCAAGUGUGGGCGUGCUGAUGAGAUUUCUCACGUGUUCUAUGAGUCCAGCCACAUGGAUGUUGCUUCCUGCAACGCUCUCGUCGCUGGGCUCUCUCGGAACGCCCAGGUCUCUGAGGCAUUGUUGUUGUUCAGCGAGUUUGUUAGCCGAGGAGUCGAGUUGAAUGUUGUGUCCUGGACCUCGAUUGUUGCCUGCUGUGUGCAGAAUGGGAAAGAUUUGGAAGCGGUUGAUCUUUUCAGGAAGAUGCAGUCAAAAGGGAUCGAGCCGAAUUCAGUCACGAUACCCUGCGUACUGCCAGCAUUUGCCAAUGUUGCUGCUCUUAUGCAUGGCCGGUCAGCACACUGUUUUUCUCUUAGGAAAGGAUUUCUUCAUGACGUUUACGUUGGCAGUGCGUUGGUGGACAUGUAUGCAAAGUGUGGCAAGGUCAGGUAUGCGAGGACGAUCUUCGAUGCAAUUCCGUCUAAAAAUACGGUUUCGUGGAAUGCGAUUAUUGGUGGCUAUGCAAUGCAUGGGGAGGCUGCAAAUGCUGUGCAGUUGUUCUGUUUGAUGCAGAAGUGCAAACAGAAGCCCGACCUAGUCACAUUUACCUGUGUCAUUAGUGCCUGUGGCCAAGCUGGCCUGACAGAGGAGGGGCGUCACUACUUCAAUGAAAUGCAGCAUAGUCAUGGCAUUUCCCCUAGGAUGGAGCAUUAUGCAUGUAUGGUUACUCUGUUAGGACGGGCUGGCAAGCUUGAUGAGGCAUACGAUCUCAUAAAUGAGAUGCCAUUUGAGCCAGAUGGUUGUAUUUGGGGGUCCUUGCUGGGCUCUUGCAGGGUUUAUGGAAAUGUUUUCCUAGCCGAAGUCGCAGCAGAAAAGCUAUUUGAACUAGAGCCAGAAAAUACCGGCAACUAUGUCCUGCUUUCCAACAUUUAUGCGUCUAAAAAAAUGUGGGACGGGGUAAACAGAGUGAGGGAUCAGAUGAAGAAUAUGGGAUUGAAGAAAGAAAAGGGUUGCAGUUGGAUAGAGAUCAAGAACAAGGUGCACAUGUUGUCAGCUGGUGACAGUUCACACCCCAUGAUGACUGCAAUAACGGAGAAACUAAAGCAGCUUACCAUUGAGAUGAGCAGGCUGGGCUUUGCACCGAGCACAGAUUUUGUCCUGCAUGAUGUGGAAGAACAAGAAAAGGACGAUAUCCUUGCUGUGCACAGUGAAAAGCUGGCUGUUGCAUUGGGCCUCAUAAGCACGAGCCCAGGAACACCCCUCCGGGUGAUAAAGAACCUCCGGAUUUGUGGCGAUUGCCACGAAGCAAUGAAGUUCAUAUCAUGUUUUGAGGGGAGGGAGAUAUCUGUUAGAGACACUAACAGGUUUCAUCACUUCAAGGAUGGGAAAUGUUCUUGUGGGGAUUACUGGUGA
rnacentral:rRNA from 1 species